GUGCUCGCUUCGGCAGCACACACACUAAAACCGGAACGCUACAGACAAGGUCAGCAAGGGCCCUGCACAAGGAUGACACGCAAAUUUGUGAAGUGUUCCACAUUUCU